AGAUCUUUCUUCCCACCCAAUUUUCAUUUUUUUUCUCCUCCUUCUCUCAUUUUUUCCUUUAUAAUGUGCUUGAUUUCUGUCUUGGCUUGAGUGUUCUAACAGGGGGCUGUGAAUUUGAAAAAAUUACUAACUGGAAAACAAUGAAAUUCCUUUUUAUUUUACUUCUCUCAAGAAAUCAUUAGCCCAUUAGUUUUCCCCCCAGAUCAGGUGGAGCAGGCUUAAUGCACUUGCUCUUGGGCAGAAUGGUGCAAUUUACCCAAGCUGCUUGCUUCCUAAGGAAAGACAGUUGUAAGCAGUUAAUGAGUCAUAAGGCAGACUUAAGGGAAGAGCUCUGCUCCCUUUGUUAAGGUACUGGUGCUUUCAGUCAGUGUAGUCUGUAGCUCAGCAGAGAAACUAACUGCAGGAUGACAGUACUGAGCAGGUAGGAGAUCUCUGAGGAAUGGAGGGCAGACUGAACUGCUGCAAAAUGAGAUCAUAAUGAAAUCCUAAGCAGUUGGAGAACCUUCUAAAAACCAUGGAGAAUUGAGCCUAGCGUUGGAAGCUCAGCACCAUCACUGGAGCAGCAGCUGGACUUAUUGCUCACGCAGUUCUCAGACCUCUCCUUGACUGCUUCUUUUCACGGCAGUUUCUCUUGCUGUGUCAGAUCUGCGGUAAAUUAUAUUGCUAAUCUUUCAGACUGUGCCUCUGUGUACAAAAUGCUUCCUCUCUGCUGACAACUUGCCUGCGAGGGAUUUGUGCUGCAGAGCUUGGAAAAAAAAAAAAAAUAGAAAAAAGAGAAGAGAGAAGUGUUCCUGUUUCCCUUUGUCCGCGUGCGAAAUGAGCGUGCGGCACUCUGCCGGCCUGGCCGCACAAAAGAGCCUUUCUCUGUGCUUAGCCCUGGAGCUGUUCCUGCACUGUUCCCACUGCUCUGCUCACUGGAUGCCAUUCAAGGAACAAAUUGGGGUAACGAAAUGGCCUCUGCUGUUCAAAGGGGACGCUGCAGCUUACAUAAAACACACCAAUUCCUUAAAACCAUAUCCAAUUCCUCGACCCGAUUACUAUUCUGCGUCACUUUUUUUCUUUUUUCUUUUAAUACCUGUAAUAACUUGAAAGAGGAUUGUAUCAUCCCACACACAUGCAUUAUUGUUCUUCCCUAAGCGGUGUAAGAUAUCAUCAAGCCUUGAUUAGGAUAAUCUCUGUAUUGACAAAACAUUGUGCUUACGCUAGGCAAUACUAAAAUAGUAGUGAAAUGCUGUACCCAGGUGAAAAUAUGGGUACAUAUAUAUUUUAAAGUAAUGAGAUGAGAUUUCACUUGCGAUUCCACUGGGAUUAUUUUAAGUGGAAAUGUAGUAUAUGCUAUAGUAUCCCUGCUUGAGCCGUGAUGCUGUACCCAAUGACCUCUGGAAGUUUCCUGCAGCAUCACUCUGUGAUUCAGUAGCUCUGUGGUUCAGUAGCUCUGUUAGUGGCACAUUGUUGCUGCUUUUGCAAACAAGCAGAAAAAAAUACCUUGGGGGGAAAAUCUCAUUUAAUGAUUAGUAAAGAUAUUAAAAAUAGUUUUGUUUGUUUGUUUGU